rnacentral:rRNA from 1 species
UUGCUCCCGGAUGUUAGCGGCGGACGGGUGAGUAACACGUGGGUAACCUGCCUGUAAGACUGGGAUAACUCCGGGAAACCGGAGCUAAUACCGGAUAGUUCCUUGAACCGCAUGGUUCAAGGAUGAAAGACGGUUUCGGCUGUCACUUACAGAUGGACCCGCGGCGCAUUAGCUAGUUGGUGGGGUAAUGGCUCACCAAGGCGACGAUGCGUAGCCGACCUGAGAGGGUGAUCGGCCACACUGGGACUGAGACACGGCCCAGACUCCUACGGGAGGCAGCAGUAGGGAAUCUUCCGCAAUGGACGAAAGUCUGACGGAGCAACGCCGCGUGAGUGAUGAAGGUUUUCGGAUCGUAAAGCUCUGUUGUUAGGGAAGAACAAGUGCGAGAGUAACUGCUCGCACCUUGACGGUACCUAACCAGAAAGCCACGGCUAACUACGUGCCAGCAGCCGCGGUAAUACGUAGGUGGCAAGCGUUGUCCGGAAUUAUUGGGCGUAAAGGGCUCGCAGGCGGUUUCUUAAGUCUGAUGUGAAAGCCCCCGGCUCAACCGGGGAGGGUCAUUGGAAACUGGGAAACUUGAGUGCAGAAGAGGAGAGUGGAAUUCCACGUGUAGCGGUGAAAUGCGUAGAGAUGUGGRGRAACAACCAGUUGGCGAAAGAGCGACUCUCUGGGUCUGUAACCUGACGCUGAAGGAGCGAAAAGCGUGGGGAGCGAWCWGGRUYWGAUAMCCUGRYRSUSMASGASCGWAAAGCGWKGRGWGCKAAACAGGWKUAGAUAYCCUGGUAGUCCACGCCGUAAACGAUGAGUGCUAAGUGUUASGGGGUUUCCGCCCCUUUAGUGCUGCAGCUAACGCAUUAAGCACUCCGCCUUGGSGAGUACCGGAUCGSMAGACUGAAAACUCAAAGGAAUUGRMSSGGKSSCSSRMCUCAAGUCUGRUGGAGCAUGUGGKUUWWWWYSWWCGCARMRMGMAGAACCUUACCAGGUCUUGACAUCCUGUGACAACCCUAGAGAUAGGGCUUUCCCUUCGGGGACAGAGUGACAGGUGGUGCAUGGUUGUCGUCAGCUCGUGUCGUGAGAUGUUGGGUUAAGUCCCGCAACGAGCGCAACCCUUGAUCUUAGUUGCCAGCAUUUAGUUGGGCACUCUAAGGUGACUGCCGGUGACAAACCGGAGGAAGGUGGGGAUGACGUCAAAUCAUCAUGCCCCUUAUGACCUGGGCUACACACGUGCUACAAUGGACAGAACAAAGGGCUGCAAGACCGCAAGGUUUAGCCAAUCCCAUAAAUCUGUUCUCAGUUCGGAUCGCAGUCUGCAACUCGACUGCGUGAAGCUGGAAUCGCUAGUAAUCGCGGAUCAGCAUGCCGCGGUGAAUACGUUCCCGGGCCUUGUACACACCGCCCGUCACACCACGAGAGUUUGCAACACCCGAAGUCGGUGAGGUAACCUUUAUGGAGCC